CCUACGGGUGGCAGCAGUGAGGAAUAUUGGUCAAUGGGGGAAACCCUGAUGCAGCGACGCCGCGUGGGUGAAGAAGCGCCUCGGCGCGUAAAGCCCUGUCAGCAGGGAAGAAAAUGACGGUACCUGAAGAAGAAGCCCCGGCUAACUACGUGCCAGCAGCCGCGGUAAUACGUAGGGGGCAAGCGUUAUCCGGAUUUACUGGGUGUAAAGGGGGCGCAGACGGCGAUGCAAGCCAGGUGUGAAAGCCCGGGGCCCAACCCCGGGACUGCUCUUGGAACUGCGUGGCGAGAGUGCAGGAGGGGCAGGCGGAAUUCCUGGUGUAGCGGUGAAAUGCGUAGAUAUCAGGAGGAACACCGGUGGCGAAGGCGGCCUGCUGGACUACAACUGACGUUGAGGCCCGAAAGCGUGGGGAGCAAACAGGAUUAGAUACCCGAGUAGUC
rnacentral:rRNA from 1 species